rnacentral:tRNA from 1 species
GCCAUAAUAGUUUAUACAAAAACUUGGGUUUUGUAAACCCACUAUGCUUCUAAAGCUUUUGGUC